UGUAAAGAAAUUAUAAAAACAGACUCAGCACCUUUCCUUUACACGUCGUAAACACGCAGAUUUCACAGGAGCCUUCCCCCACCCCAAUGAAGUUAAUUACUAUCAGUCCAUACUUAUAUAGUCAAAGUUAUCAUUGCGGAAAAACGCCAAAAACAAACUUCAAGACUUUCGAGAUGCUUCGAUAUAUUCAAGUUUGAAUGAUCGACACACAAGCUCGAGGUUCCAACGAGUCAAUGAGCGUAUUCUUAUACUAUAUUCUGAUCUGUUAGAAGACUUAAAAGACAACGCAGAUUGUAUCAAAAGACAAAAUCAAUUGAUCGUAAUCAAUCAGCAGAAAACAGAAGAUGAAAAACGCAUGCAACAUAUGUGGAUUAUAAUGCACGUCCACCUACAGUUAUCCCUUAUAUCACGGCAACUGAACAAAAUAUUCAGUCUACAAAUGUCACUACAAAUGUCAUGUUAUUUUAUAUGCAUUCUAGAGGAUUGUCGCGAAUUGUAUUCGCUCCAUUUAGAGAAACAUGCUCAAAUAUUGUGGAAUUCUGAAAAUAUUUUACCCAUUGC